UUCCGGUUGAUCCCGCCGGACCUGACUGCUAUCGGAUUGAUACUAAGCCAUGCGAGUCAUUGUAGCAAUACAAGGCAGACGGCUCAGUAACGCGUAGUCAACCUAACCUAUGGACGGGAAUAACCUCGGGAAACUGAGAAUAAUGCCCGAUAGAACACUAUACCUGGAAUGGCUUGUGUUCCAAAUGAUUUAUCGCCGUAGGAUGGGACUGCGGCCUAUCAGUUUGUUGGUGAGGUAAUGGCCCACCAAGACUAUUACAGGUACGGGCUCUGAGAGGAGUAGCCCGGAGAUGGGUACUGAGACACGGACCCAGGCCCUAUGGGGCGCAGCAGGCGAGAAAACUUUGCAAUGUGCGAAAGCACGACAAGGUUAAUCCGAGUGAUUUGUGCUAAACGAAUCUUUUGUUAGUCCUAGAACCACUAACGAAUAAGGGGUGGGCAAGUUCUGGUGUCAGCCGCCGCGGUAAAACCAGCACCUCAAGUGGUCAGGAUGAUUAUUGGGCCUAAAGCAUCCGUAGCCGGCUCUGUAAGUUUUCGGUUAAAUCUGUACGCUUAACGUACAGGCUGCCGGGAAUACUGCAGAGCUAGGGAGUGGGAGAGGUAGACGGUACUCGGUAGGAAGGGGUAAAAUCCUUUGAUCUAUUGAUGACCACCUGUG
rnacentral:rRNA from 1 species